ACAGUACUUCUGCACAAGUCUCUGCUUGGGGGGACAAUGUUUUAUUCAACUGUUUACCUGGACUGCAUUUUGGUGGAUCAAUAGCAGUAUCAAGCAGACAAUUACCGGACCUGUCUGUCUGUUUUUCUGACUGGAUCCUACAGAUUGGCUGAACCAGAGAGAAAGAGGCGAAGAGAGAGGUUUUACUCUGCCCAAAAUCUGUCCACGAAAAUAAGCUCGCAAAGCGAGGAAUUUUUGUAUGGAGAUAUAUCUAUCAAGGCCCAGAGGACUGGUCCCAGAGAGAGAGAGAGCAGAAGAGAGAGAGAGACAGGGAGGAUGCUGUUGCUUUCUGGCUUCUGAUAAGCUGACAGUUGGAGCCAGGCGGGGUCACCUCCCCUCACCUCCCAGGGGUGUGUGGGUACAGCUCCGGAGCUCCAGAGCCCACGCCCCAGCGGCUCCCUGACUUGCCCAGCGAGGAGAAGUGAAGUGUGGGGAGAGCCGGGCUGCUCUGCUGAGAUGGAGGCCUCAGGCCUGGAGGUACCUCUGGCCUACUCACUUUAGGUCAUGCGAGAUGCAGUCUGCCAGGCCUGCCCCAACCCCCUCAGAGUGAAGAGUGCAAGAGGAGCAGAGCGGUCACUGCUGCUGUUGAGCUGUUGAGCCAUGUACUUCUCACACUCAGUCAUCUCUCUGUCUGCUUCUCUCACUUUGUUUUGGACUGCAUUUCCCUCUCAGUGAUGUCAUGAUAAGCUUUGAAUUCUAACAAAACUAAACCUUUUUUUUGAUACACCCUACAUUGUGAAAUAUCCUUAGGUUAUGAUUUCUAUAUAAAUCAUAUUUAAAUUAUAAACUAGACUAAGUAACACACUGGAGAUGCUUACAAAGACGUAAACUCAUAGUGGUUAUCGUAGUGUUGGGUUGGUGUGUGUGUCCUGCUCAGGCUCAUAGUUUAUAACCCUGAGAGAGAACCAUCCUCUCAUAUCUACUGAUGGCUCCUUUUUAACAAUGGUCGAUCAGCUGCAACAUCAAAGCUCCUGGGUCGGGCUGGAAUAGCUGCAUCUUGGGACCACAUUAGUGAGUGUGUGCAUGAUUUUUCACUGCUUUGAAGUUCCCUGUCUCUCUCCCUCUCUGACCUAUUUGACUAUGGGAGGGGUAGACGUGGGGUGACCACACAUAGAAUGCAUAACCCCAACCCCUUAAAUGUCAUAAAUGCUGGGCAUAGUUGGGGUUGAUGGCAUUUCACAUAAAGACUCACAUAAGACUCACAUAAAAGCAACAGUCAACCAAAGAUACUGGUAACUUUCCCAAGAUAACUCAUCAGCGUCGUUUCCUGUGGCAGCAAAUGAAGCAUAGUGAACAGAACAAACAAAGAGGUGGGCAGAGCCAAGCACAAGCUAGCAAGAUCCUAUUGGCGCGUUUUAGCAUGUAUUUGCAUAUUUCCGUUAGGAAAUGCCUUAUUUGUGAAGUGCCCGUGUGCAACAACUCAACUCAUUCUAAACAACGCAACUUUGGCAAAGGUUCAAGUCUACAAAACUUUGUUUGUAACAGAUUCCAGUUUUGGAAACAGAAAACUGCAUUGAGUUGAAAUGUUUCUUCAAUGAGAAAAUGUGCUGAAUGUCGGACAAGUUUCAACUACUGUAGCUCCAUAUUCUCCCACUUCUCGCCACUGGACUUGCUGUCAUCAGAAUAUUGGGUGGCGAGUGGAAGUUCAAAACGGAUGCUUCAGAUUUAUACAUCCUCUGAGACAUCUGGCUCCUUCUAUCUGUGACUCAAUGCUGCUGAUGUAGCACACAUUUUCAUUUUAAUAAAGCUUCAUUUGAAUUUUCAUUCAAAUUCAAUAACAACUCAUCCAAAUGAAGAGCAAAUUUCAAGAACAAAAUACAAAAAAGAUAUGAUUAUCUCCAAACCACCUUUCAUGUGAUAUCUGUUAAAGUUCCUGUGAGUGUUUGGUAAAACCUUCGCUGAUAUCUUGACAGGAUCUUAUUUUUUAAGUUCUAAAACAACUUCUUGACAUAAAACAUCCAUUGCUUUAUUAGCCUCAAAUCAGACUUUUAUAUUUAGUGUCUAAACAAGGAAUUCCGUUCUUAUCAAAAAGUGAGAAAAAGACAACAUGAUGCACAAAUGAUCAAAUUUCAAAUCAAAUGUAUUUAUUUAUAUAGCCCUUCUUACAUCAGCUGAUAUAUCAAAGUGCUGUACAGAAACCCAGCCUAAAACCCCAAUCAGCAAGCAAUG